UACGUAGGGUGCGAGCGUGUCCGGAAUUAUUGGGCGUAAAGGGCUCGUAGGCGGUCUGUCACGUCGGGAGUGAAAACUCAGGGCUUAACCCUGAGCCUGCUUCCGAUACGGGCAGACUAGAGGUAUGCAGGGGAGAACGGAAUUCCUGGUGUAGCGGUGAAAUGCGCAGAUAUCAGGAGGAACACCGGUGGCGAAGGCGGUUCUCUGGGCAUUACCUGACGUGAGGAGCGAAAGUGUGGGGAGCGAACAGG
rnacentral:rRNA from 1 species